UACGAAGGGGGCUAGCGUUGCUCGGAAUCACUGGGCGUAAAGCGCACGUAGGCGGCUCUUUUAAGUCAGGGGUGAAAUCCUGGAGCUCAACUCCAGAACUGCCCUUGAUACUGAGGAGCUUGAGUCCGGGAGAGGUGAGUGGAACUGCGAGUGUAGAGGUGAAAUUCGUAGAUAUUCGCAAGAACACCAGUGGCGAAGGCGGCUCACUGGCCCGGUACUGACGCUGAGGUGCGAAAGCGUGGGGAGCAAACAGG
rnacentral:rRNA from 1 species